rnacentral:ncRNA from 1 species
UUUAAGCUAUACGGGAGCUGGUUAAACCGGCUGAGAGGAAAUUUCGCCUGGUAGCCGAGUUGGCGCCGCGUAGAUUUCGACCGCACCUGAUUUGGAUAAUGCCAACGGAGGUAUGAUGAUUAAAGUAAAUGG